rnacentral:rRNA from 1 species
GACGAACGCUGGCGGCACGCUUAACACAUGCAAGUCGAACGAGAACCUCGGAGCUUGCUCCGGGGGGACAGUGGCGAACGGGUGAGUAACGCGUGAGGAACCUGCCCCGAAGACCGGGACAACACCGGGAAACCGGUGCUAAUACCGGAUGCCCUCGCCGGAUCGCAUGAUCCGGUGAGGAAAUGGAUUCCGCUUCGGGAUGGCCUCGCGGCCUAUCAGCUUGUUGGUGGGGUAACGGCCCACCAAGGCUUCGACGGGUAGCUGGUCUGAGAGGAUGUCCAGCCACACUGGGACUGAGACACGGCCCAGACUCCUACGGGAGGCAGCAGUGGGGAAUCUUGCGCAAUGGGCGAAAGCCUGACGCAGCGAUGCCGCGUGCGGGAUGAAGGCCUUCGGGUUGUAAACCGCUUUCAGCAGGGACGAAAUUGACGGUACCUGCAGAAGAAGCCCCGGCCAACUACGUGCCAGCCGCCGCAGUAAUAC